rnacentral:tRNA from 1 species
UGGCGCAGUUGGUAGAGCAUGGUGUUUGCAACGCCAGGGUUGUGGGUUCGAUUCCCAU